GAUUUUUUUAGCAAAACUCUGAAUUUCAUUUUAAAAAAUGAUGUGUCCUGCCAAGUGUCAAGCUUAACAAUAAAUGGCAUAAUGAUUCUUACUAAUGGUUUAUCGCAUUUCCCUAAUACCUGGAAACUACGUUCAUAAGGAUUGAGUAGGAAAGACAUAAAUGCAUUUCCAGGACAGCUAAAUUGUUUUAGGAAUAAUGUGAAAUGAAUAGACUAUGCUCUUAGUAUCUGUUACUACUGAUAAUGAAGAGCUUAUUACCACAAAACGAAAUAUAAAAGAGCUACGAUUAAAAAUAAAAAAACUUAAAAUAGUCAAAGUUCAAUAAUCUUCCAUUGAAUCCCAUACACACAAAGUCUAUGAACAACCAUCAAAUUUAAAGAGCUGUUUUGGCAAUAGCAGCAGGGUUAACUCUCUUGCCAUCACGGUUAUAGCGGACACGAGGGGGAGGAGUACGAAUGCGGCGUCCUUCACGGGAACGGACACGAACAACGCGAGCGUGAAUAGCACAUGAGACACAGUAUUGAAGCUUGACAUAUAUCUUGGGAAUAGCAUAUUCACUAUAAACAGAGGCUUCAGACAAAUCACGAAUUGCAGCAGUUUCAACCAUAUUACGGAUGUUCCAGCGCUUGAUGGCCUUGUCCUUGGGGACGGCACGGCUGCAGUUAAUACAUCUCACAAAUUUGGUAUGACCACGGCCAUGCUUGUUACGACCACAAUUUCUUCUUUUUUGAGUCAUACUGUUUUUUGUAGAUAAUAAGCAUGUACAAUUUGUUAGUUUCGACUGAGAGUUUGGGCCGUGACUGUUUUGAAAAUAACGAUGGAAGCUAGUACAGCGGAAUAUUGUUUAGUGUAAUGCACAGCAUUCUCAAAAACAUUCGCUUUAAGUCGUUAAACGAUUCUAUGGUUGGUGAAAAGAGAGAGCGAUUUAAAAACAGUAAUAAACCCGAAAAUUGUUUUGCGGUUCAAAGAGCAAAGGUGUGAAUCCUGCAUGCUUUGAAAAAAUUUGGAUUUACUUGCUUUAAGAGGAAAUAUGACUGAAUUGAUGGAGUUUUAAAUUACCAAUAAAUUUCGAAAUUUGGUAGUGAUGAAAGAUUAUCUUGGAAUGAAAUCAGCAUACCCCAGCAGUGUAGCUUUAGAAUAUAGUGGGAGACAUUAGAACAGGUGCAUGAGUGCCAAAUUGGCGUUGUUGGAAAGUAGAAACCUAUAAAGCGUUUUCUAACGACAUUUUUUAUAGCCUAAACAUUCCGUCGUUGCGUUCUAUAAAUAAUCUGAACGAUGAAGUCUAUUCAAGUAAGCGAAAAAUGGCUACGCUGAACGAGUUGUUGUAGUUAAGUGAGUUAACCGAAAACUUUGCACGUUGAAUACUCGUUUACUUAAUUUUUCUUAAAACAUGUUGAUCGAAUAGAGCCUAAUUCGCAACUAUUAUGCUUUGAGCGAGUUAAAUAAAAUUAUGUAUCGUGGCACCGGAAUGAUCGGGCCGAAAGAUAGAGAUCAAAAUAUGUCUUGUACAAAAAUAAUCUAGCGUAAGUACUGAAACAAAAUAAUGCUGGUUAACCAAGCAACCCAUUUCAUAUGUCACGGUUAUGUAGUGCUACUACCAUCAAGCGAAAAAAGAAUUGAUUGCUGUUUCAGAAUAUUGAAUUAUAUACUCCAUUUAUGAAAGGAGCAGUUCUAUACUAAGUUUUACUCACUAUUUUAUAUACAGCGGAUUACUUUCACCCGACGGACUCUACGUUCGAAAGCUUUACUUUGCAAAAAAAUAUGUAGCAUUUAAAAGGCGAUACAAAAAGUAAACUGAGGAUUUCAUCAAAACGUUAUAUAAUUCCAUUACUCAUCGCAUUCAACGAUGCAAGCGAAUUCAC
rnacentral:lncRNA from 1 species